rnacentral:misc_RNA from 1 species
CAAGAAGCCGAAAGGCUACUUAAAACCAUCGCGAACUUAUCCAAGUUGCUUCGGGCGGCGCGGCUCCCCUCACGGGGGACCGCAGCCCCCGCCUCUCAGGAGGUAAGGGCAGCCGCCGGAGGUACGAAACUCUGUAUUAUAGUGGUAUCUCUGAGUAUAAAACAAAUAAGUUA